GACGGAGGAUGCAAGCGUUAUCCGGAAUGAUUGGGCGUAAAGCGUCCGCAGGUGGCAGUUCAAGUCUGCUGUCAAAGACCGGGGCUUAACUUCGGAAAGGCAGUGGAAACUGAACAGCUAGAGUCCGGAAGAGGAGAGUGGAAUUCCUGGUGUAGCGGUGAAAUGCGCAGAUAUCAGGAAGAACACCCGUGGCUAAGGCGGCUCUCUAGUACGGUACUGACGCUGAGACGCGAAAGCGUGGGGAGCGAACAGG
rnacentral:rRNA from 1 species